rnacentral:rRNA from 1 species
AACGCAGACAGUGGAUGCCUUGGAUUUACCUACCGAAGAAGGACGCGCAUGGCUGCGAUAAGCGUCGGGGAGGAGUCACGAUCCUUUGAUCCGGCGGUGUCCGAAUGGAGAAAUCCGACCAGCGUUAUUGCUGGUAAUCCUAUUCCCAAGUUGUUUAGUUUACUAAAUAUAGUAAGGAUAGGAGGGGAACCACCUGAACUGAAACAUCUAAGUAAGGUGAGGAAAAUAAAUCAAACGAGAUUGCCCGAGUAGCGGAGAGCGAAACGGCAAGAGCCUAAACCUUUGCGCUGGGUUUACUCAGUGUGAAGGGGUUGCGGGAGCCCAAUGUGAUAGGGUUAUUUGUAGAAGAACUGCUUGGAAUAGCAGACCAUAGAGAGUGAAAGUCUCGUAUUCGAAACAAAUAAUCCGUCUAGGGAUAUCCCAAGUACCCCGGUGCAAAUACUCCGGGGGAAGCAGGGGGAACCAUCCUCCAAGGCUAAAUAUAGGUAAAUACCGAUAGUGAACUAGUACUGAGAAGGAAAGGCGAAAAGAAGGGCGGGACGCCCAGUGAAAUAGAACCUGAAACUGUUUGCGGACAAACCGAUAGAGGUCGCCUUUGGCGACUGAUAUCGUGCCUAUUGAAGAAUGAUCCGGCGAGUUUGUAUUACAUUCUAGCUUAAUCAAGUCUAACUUGAGGAGGCGCAGGGAAACCGAGUUUGAAUAGAGCGAAAAUAAGGAUGUGGUACAAGACCCGAAACCAGGCGAUCUAUCCAUGAGCAGGGUGAACUCUGAUGAAGAUCAGAGGGAGGCCCGAACCGGUCUGAGUUGCAAUUCGGUCGGAUGACUUGUGGUUAGUGGUUAUAUGCCAAACGAGCCUGGAGAUAGCUGGCUCUCCCCGAAAGGUCUAUGGGGACCGUGGCUGUGAAUAAAUAUGGGGGUGGUAGAGAUACUGGAUGGGUUAUCAAGGGUAACCGAGAUAACUUAACCAAACUCCGAAUAACUCCAUAUCGUCGCAGCUAGACAAUCUUAUCGGGCUAAGCUGAUAAGUUGAGAGGGAAACAACCCAGACUCCCGGCUAAGGUCUCAAAAUCAUAACUAAGUUUCAAAGGAAGUCUACGUCCAUAGACAGCUAGGAGGUUGGCUUAGAAGCAGCCAUCCUUUAAAGAUAGCGUAACAGCUCACUAGUCGAUUGGAAGUAGGCGCCGAAAAUUUAUCGAGGAUAAGUUAUGUACCGAAGCCAGAGAUUUUACCGUAAGGUAAUGUGGUAGGGGAGCGUUCGUACAGCAGUGAAGCUGUUUUGUAAGAAAUGGUGGAGCGGUACGAAGUGAGAAUGCCGGAAUGAGUAGCGUACAAUUACCGUGAGAAUCGGUAACGCCGAAUACCCAAGGUUUCCGUCGCGAGGUUCGUCCUCGACGGGUUAGUCGGUACCUAAGGCGAGGCCAAAUGGCGUAGUCGAUGGAAGAGCAGUUAAAAUUCUGCUAUUUGUUUUGAAUCGCUUGCCUGCGCAAGCAGGUUACAGCUGGGGACUGACCGGGUUGGAGAAUUGAAGCCCCUUUGUGAAUUGGGGUGUAAGCUUUAAAAUAGGAUGUGCUGGAAAAUCCGCACAACUGAUUAAUUGAAAAGUGAUACAGAGUCUUAAGAAAUUAGGAUGAUUUCAGCUUCUUCAGCCUGCGAGAAAAGGUUCGCAGUGAGAUUCAGAUCAAGCCGUACCGUAAUCCGACACAGGUGGGUUGGUGUCAGUGCACUAAGGCGAGCGAGAGAAAGAGGCUAAAGGAACUCGGCAAUAAAACUGGACGUAAGUUCGCAAGAUGUCCUGGCCAGCUUAAUGCUGGCUUGCAACAAAAGAUUGCUAACCGACUGUUUAUCAAAAACACAGGUCCGUGCAAAAGAGAAAUCUGCGGUAUACGGGCUGACGCUUGCCCAGUGCCGGUAAGUGAAGAGGAGGGGUUUCCCGAUUUAUCGGGACAGCUUCGAAUCCAAGCUCCGGUAAACGGCAGCAGUAACUAUAACUGUUCUACGGUAGCGAAGUUCCUUGUCGGGUAAGUUCCGACCCGCAUGAAUAGCGUAACGAGUUAGCAACUGUCUCAAGCCUUUACUCGGCGAAAUUGCGUUGGCUGUGAAGACGCGGCCUACUUCCACCUGGACAAAAAGACCCCGUGGAGCUUUACUACAGCUUGACAUUGAUUUGUGCGAGCUAAUUGUUUAGUGUAAGAGGGAGCCUUCGGGCGAAAGUGAAACACCUCUCUUUGGAUCGUGGCAAAUCUCACUCAUAAACUUUGCAUACAAGUUUGGGGAAAGUGUUAGGUAGGUAGUUUUACUGGGGCGGUACCUUGCCAAAGGGUAACGCAAGGACACAAAGGUUGGCUUAGCACGGAUGGACAUCGUGCGGAAUGUGUAAAGGCAUAAGCCAGCUUGACUGCGAGUGCGACGGCACAAGCAGGGACGAAAGUCGGUCUUAGUGAUCCUCCGACGCCAUAUGGGUGGCGCGGAGCUUAAUGGAUAAAAGCUACCCCGGGGAUAACAGAGUAGUCGCGCCCGAGCGUCCAUAGCGACGGCGCGGAUCGCUACCUCGAUGUCGGCUCAUCGCAUCCUGGGGCUGGAGAAGGUCCCAAGGGUCGGUCUGUUCGCCCGUUAAAGCGGUACGUGAGCUGGGUUCAGAACGUCGCGAGACAGUUCGGACUCUAUCCGGUGGAAGCGUUCGAGUUUUGAGGAGAGCUGGGGACAGUACGAGAGGACCUCCCUGGAGGAAUCCCUGGUCUGCCGGUUGUCGCGUCAGCGGCAAAGCCGGGUAGCUAUAUUCCUAAAGGAUAACCGCUGAAAGCAUCUAAGUGGGAAGCCAACUCCAAGAUUAGAACUCGUUAUUAGAUUCGGGAGAGACCAUCCCGUUAAUCGGCAGGGUGUGGAAGACCUGUAAGGGUUUAAGCUAACCUGUGCGAAUAAAUCGAAGGGCUUAU